AACUACUACGAAAGAGUGGCUAACUACCGCAUACGAUCUAAGGAUGAAAGCGGGGGAUCGCAAGACCUCGCGUCGUUUGGAGCGGCCGAUGGCAGAUUAGGUAGUUGGUGGGGUAAAGGCUUACCAAGCCCGCGAUCUGUAGCUGGUCUGAGAGGAUGAUCAGCCACACUGGGACUGAGACACGGCCCAGACUCCUACGGGAGGCAGCAGUGGGGAAUUUUGGACAAUGGGCGAAAGCCUGAUCCAGCCAUUCCGCGUGCAGGAUGAAGGCCCUCGGGUUGUAAACUGCUUUUGUACAGAACGAAAAGGCUCUUUCUAAUACAGAGAGUCCAUGACGGUACUGUAAGAAUAAGCACCGGCUAACUACGUG
rnacentral:rRNA from 1 species